AUUAAACGCUGGCGGCAGGCCUAACACAUGCAAGUCGAGCGGAUGAAGGGAGCUUGCUCCUGGAUUCAGCGGCGGACGGGUGAGUAAUGCCUAGGAAUCUGCCUGGUAGUGGGGGAUAACGUCCGGAAACGGGCGCUAAUACCGCAUACGUCCUGAGGGAGAAAGUGGGGGAUCUUCGGACCUCACGCUAUCAGAUGAGCCUAGGUCGGAUUAGCUAGUUGGUGGGGUAAAGGCCUACCAAGGCGACGAUCCGUAACUGGUCUGAGAGGAUGAUCAGUCACGCUGGAACUGAGACACGGUCCAGACUCCUACGGGAGGCAGCAGUGGGGAAUAUUGGACAAUGGGCGAAAGCCUGAUCCAGCCAUGCCGCGUGUGUGAAGAAGGUCUUCGGAUUGUAAAGCACUUUAAGUUGGGAGGAAGGGCAGUAAGUUAAUACCUUGCUGUUUUGACGUUACCAACAGAAUAAGCACCGGCUAACUUCGUG
rnacentral:rRNA from 1 species